rnacentral:rRNA from 1 species
UACAGAGGUCCCGAGCGUUGUUCGGAUUCACUGGGCGUAAAGGGUGCGUAGGUGGCGAGGUAAGUCGGAUGUGAAAGCUCCAAGCUCAACUUGGAAACGGCAUUGGAAACUACCUUGCUAGAGGGUUUGAGGGGGGACUGGAAUACUUGGUGUAGCAGUGAAAUGCGUAGAUAUCAAGUGGAACACCAGUGGCGAAGGCGAGUCCCUGGAAAACUCCUGACACUGAGGCACGAAAGCUAGGGGAGCAAACAGG